UACGGGGGGAGCAAGCGUUGUUCGGAUUUACUGGGCGUAAAGGGCGCGUAGGCGGCCACCGCAAGUCGACUGUGAAAUCUCCGGGCUUAACUCGGAAAGGUCAGCCGAUACUGCGGGGCUAGAGUGCAGAAGGGGCAACUGGAAUUCUCGGUGUAGCGGUGAAAUGCGUAGAUAUCGAGAGGAACACCUGCGGCGAAGGCGGGUUGCUGGGCUGACACUGACGCUGAGGCGCGAAAGCGUGGGGAGCAAACAGG
rnacentral:rRNA from 1 species